GUGGGGAAUCUUAGACAAUGGGCGCAAGCCUGAUCUAGCCAUGCCGCGUGAGCGAUGAAGGCCUUAGGGUUGUAAAGCUCUUUCGUGGGGGAAGAUAAUGACUGUACCCCAAGAAGAAGCCCCGGCUAACUCCGUGCCAGCAGCCGCGGUAAUACGGAGGGGGCUAGCGUUGUUCGGAAUUACUGGGCGUAAAGCGCACGUAGGCGGACUGGAAAGUCAGGGGUGAAAUCCCGGGGCGCAACCCCGGAACUGCCUUUGAAACUCCCAGUCUUGAGUUCGAGAGAGGUGAGUGGAAUUCCGAGUGUAGAGGUGAAAUUCGUAGAUAUUCGGAGGAACACCAGUGGCGAAGGCGGCUCACUGGCUCGAUACUGACGCUGAGGUGCGAAAGCGUGGGGAGCAAACAGGAUUAGAAACCCCGGUAGUCC
rnacentral:rRNA from 1 species